UACAGAGGUCUCAAGCGUUGUUCGGAUUCAUUGGGCGUAAAGGGUGCGUAGGCGGCGCGGUAAGUCGGGUGUGAAAUCUUGGAGCUUAACUCCGAAACUGCAUUCGAUACUGCCGUGCUUGAGGACUGGAGAGGAGACUGGAAUUUACGGUGUAGCGGUGAAAUGCGUAGAUAUCGUAAGGAAGACCAGUGGCGAAGGCGGGUCUCUGGGCCACUACUGACGCUGAGAAGCGAAAGCAUGGGGAGCGAAACAGG
rnacentral:rRNA from 1 species